GUGCUAAUUAAACUAAAAACUUAUCUGCAGCCGUAAUGAUAUUUUGAACUAUUUCAAAACUUCUACCUUGAAAAAAUUGUGAAAAAGGUAUUGAAAAAAAAACCCUUACUAACUCUGUAACAAAUAUCUAACUUUAUACAAUCAUAAAAUGUUUACAAUAAAUCUGUUGAAUAUUCCAGAACAUGAACUCUCGUUAACCUGAGUUAUGUAAGAAAUCCCAGAAAAUGUGGUUAAUUUUACUCUCUAGGCCAGAUUUCUAGCUUUAUAGACAUGUGUAGUAAAGGAAACUAUUAUACAUGUGAUAGGUCUAGAUUUAACAAAAACCCGGUCUUCCAGCUAUAAACUGGUGCUGUCCAAGGGAGUAAUAAUGGAGUGCCUAGCACUGUGGUGCACAGGAAAAAAUAAAAAUAUAAAAAGCUGCACCUUCAGUGAGAAGAGAAAACAAACAAACAUAACUUGGAUAUAUAAUGAGUUAAUAUACAGACAGUAAUUCACUUUAGUAGGAUUUAAUUAGUGACUGAAAUAAGAAAAAUAUUUAGAUUUAUAAAAGACUGGAAUCAAUAUUUUACAUGUUGUAGUGAUGAAAUAUUCUGUUAUAUUUCUUCAGGAAAAUUGCAAACAAACUUUAAAUAAAUGUUAGAUUUCUUUUUGUUAAAUGUGAACAAAAUCACAACUAUUUGAAAAUAAAACAUGUAUUAAACCA